AAUAAGAUGGCUGAGUUUUAAGCGGUAGAUUGUAAAUCUAUAGACAAGUUUAUACUUUCUUAUUA
rnacentral:tRNA from 1 species